rnacentral:rRNA from 1 species
GACGAACGCUGGCGGCGUGCUUAACACAUGCAAGUCGAACGGAAAGACCCUGCUUUUGUGGGGUGCUCGAUUGGCGAACGGGUGAGUAACACGUGAGUAACCUGCCCUUGACUUUGGGAUAACUUCAGGAAACUGGGGCUCAUACCGGAUAUGAGCUCCUGCUGCAUGUUGGGGGUUGGAAAGUUUCGGCGGUUGGGGAUGGACUCGCGGCUUAUCAGCUUGUUGGUGGGGUAGUGGCUUACCAAGGGUUUGACGGGUAGCCUGCCUGAGAGGGGGACCGGCGACAUGGGGACUGAGAGACGGCGCAGAAUCCAACGGGAGGCAGCAGGGGGGAAUAUGGCACAAUGGGCGGAAGCGUGAGGCAGAAACGCCGCGUUCGGGAUGACGGCCUACGGGUGGUAAACCGCUGUCGCCUGUGACGAAGCGGGAGUGACGGUAAUGGGUAAAGAAGCACCGGCUAACUACGUG